rnacentral:rRNA from 1 species
GACGAACGCUGGCGGCGUGCUUAACACAUGCAAGUCGAACGGAAAGGCCCUGCUUUUGUGGGGUGCUCGAGUGGCGAACGGGUGAGUAACACGUGAGUAACCUGCCCUUGACUUUGGGAUAACUUCAGGAAACUGGGGCUAAUACCGGAUAGGAGCUCCUGCUGCAUGGUGGGGGUUGGAAAGUUUCGGCGGUUGGGGAUGGACUCGCGGCUUAUCAGCUUGUUGGUGGGGUAGUGGCUUACCAAGGCUUUGACGGGUAGCCGGCCUGAGAGGGUGACCGGCCACAAUGGGACUGAGGUACGGCCCAGACUCCAACGGGAGGCAGCAGUGGGGAAUAUUGCACAAUGGGCGGGAGCCUGAUGCGGCGGCGCCGCGUGCGGGAUGACGGCCUUCGGGUUGUAAACCGCUUUCGCCUGUGACGAAGCGUGAGUGACGGUAAUGGGUAAAGAAGCACCGGCUAACUACGUG